UACAGAGGGUGCGAGCGUUGUCCGGAAUCACUGGGCGUAAAGGGCUCGUAGGCGGUUUGUCGCGUCGGGAGUGAAAACCUACAGCUUAACUGUGGGCUUGCUUUCGAUACGGGCAGACUAGAGGUAUGCAGGGGAGAACGGAAUUCCUGGUGUAGCGGUGAAAUGCGUAGAUAUCUGGAGGAAUACCGGUGGCGAAGGCGGCAUCCUGGACCGACAUUGACGCUGAUGAGCGAAAGCUAGGGGAGCAAACGGG
rnacentral:rRNA from 1 species